GUGGGGAAUCUUCCGCAAUGGACGAAAGUCUGACGGAGCAACGCCGCGUGAGUGAUGAAGGUCUUCGGAUUGUAAAGCUCUGUUAAUCGGGACGAAAGAGCCUAGUGUGAAUAAUGCUAGGAAGUGACGAUACCGGAAUAGAAAGCCACGGCUAACUACGUGCCAGCAGCCGCGGUAAUACGUAGGUGGCAAGCGUUGUCCGGAAUUAUUGGGCGUAAAGCGCGCGCAGGCGGAUCUGCCAGUCUGUCUUAAAAGUUCGGGGCUUAACCCCGUGAUGGGAUAGAAACUACAGAUCUAGAGUAUCGGAGAGGAAAGUGGAAUUCCUAGUGUAGCGGUGAAAUGCGUAGAUAUUAGGAAGAACACCAGUGGCGAAGGCGACUUUCUGGACGAAAACUGACGCUGAGGCGCGAAAGCCAGGGGAGCGAACGGGAUUAGAAACCCGGGUAGUCC
rnacentral:rRNA from 1 species